GUGAUCUGGAGAAAUAAAACAAAGUAUCCAUUACACGGUAGCUUGGAGAGGUUAGGUGGUGCGCCCAAAGUCACACAGACUCUGACUUUUAGGACUAAGAUACAAAUUCAGGUUUUGGUCUCACAUCUGAUGCCAUAAACACCAGGCUUCUCUAGAAACCUGAAGAAUUAUCCAACUAUCCUUCACAGUUCUCUACUAGCUCUGUUCUUAAAAACAACACUGGAAAACUGGUGACCAUCAUUCUGAGCCAGGAACUUCCUGUCCGUGCCCAUUCGGAACAUAGAGCCCAAGCUCCAGAUAGUAAAGGAAGUGAUCUGCUACUUGGCAUUGUCUUGAGUGCAUAGGAAUUCCAGCGUUGUCAUGGGAAGUAGUAUGAAUGCAAGUUUCAGGUAUUUUGUUGAAGGCCCCACACCCUUCUAAACUUCUAAGUCAAGCUGACUCAGGUUUAAGGUGGCACAAGUGAAUUCUUAUGUCCCAAAUCAAAUCACUGUGACUGCCUACCACUUCCCCCUCCCUGGCCACACUGCUUUGUCCAGGAUUCCAAUUCUUCUCCGCAACAAUCGCUUAUGCCUACAGUGCCUGGAACUGGCUAACAAGACAUCUAGAUACCUAUAAGCGUGUUGACCUUGGCUUCAACUGGGUUUGGGUCAGACCUCCAGCCUCCUCUUCUCUGCUGUGUGACCUUCAGCAAGCCACUUACCCUUUCUGAGCUGUAUUUCCUUCAUCCGUGGAAUAAGGACAAUAAAACAUCCCAUCGAGUUGGUGAGAGAAGGAAAAAGAAAAUAUGGAAGGUGCCUGGUGUCAUAUCUGUCAACAGCGGCCACCUCCAAAAUACUAGAUCCUUCUCAACACUUAACACAAAUGGAUUGAGAGAAUGAAGAUUUCCCCUUCCCGGCAUGCAGAGGGUUAACUUACAACCCCAGGCUGUUAACAUUUCUCUAAUCUUGGUACUAAUUAUGUACAGAAAUCAUUUUGUUUCUGCCACGUAUAAUAAAAACGAUUGUACAGAGAUGGAAUUUA